ACAAAAAAUACUUUUCUUAUAAUUCAAUAGUUAUAUUUUAACUUUAAAAUUACAAAUCAUUCUUACCUUUUCAUAAUUUACAUUUUUAUUAAUUAAAUAUUACUGUAUAUAAGCAUAAUAUUAUUGCCGUGCCACAACCUCGAUUCAAUUUCACCUACUGCUGGUGGUGGAGAGAUUCUACUGUAUAUCUGUCAUACCAUAUCAGUUAUUAACAGCCUAUUAUAUUAUUUAUUUUAAAUAAAAAAUAUUAUAAAAUUAUUUUUUUAACAAUUAUCACAGAAUGUGUAAAUUAAAAAAAUAAUUUAAUUAAUUAAUUAAUAACGUAGUAUCUACAAUGUAACUAAUACAUUUUAGAUUUUUUUUUCAUUGAUGGCAUGAGAAUUGCGACAGCAUAUACCUUCUCUCUCGGAAGAAUAAGGCUUAGUUUGGUAUUGAGGUGGAUCUAACGUUAUUAGAUAGAAUGGAGUUGAGAAAAAUAUGUAGGAAUAUGCUUCUACGUUUUUCGAUAGGAUCGUAGAAAAUAUAUCGUAACCUACUGACCACAAUAUACGGAACGUAAUAUUACGUACGGAAAUAAACAGAAUAUUUUUUUAUCGUUAUUUUUUAUCUCACGUAAUAUAAUUUUUCCGCAAUUUCAAACGAAACCUAACUAAUUACCGUGCACGUAACGCCAUCUUUCCGCAUUCCCAAAAUGAAGCCUAACUAAUUGCCGCAUAA
rnacentral:lncRNA from 1 species